GUAGCCGUAGUUCAGCUGGAAGAACGCUUCCCUGCGAAGGAAGAGGUCAUUGGUUCGAAUCCAAUCGGUUACACCA
rnacentral:tRNA from 1 species